rnacentral:lncRNA from 1 species
AAUAUGGACAUAAAAAAUAAAACUAAACGGAUUCAGAUUCAGAUAUAAAUUUUGCCUGCACUCGAAUCAAACCCGAACCCGAAUAGAUUUUAUAUUAUUAUAAAAUUAUAAAAUAUAUAUAAAUAUUUGAUAUUAUAUUUAAAUUUAUAUUUAAGAAAUUUAUAUUUUAAUAUAAUAUAUUUUGAAAUAUGGUAAAGUAAAAUAACUAUUUCAUAUUCGAAUUUU